rnacentral:rRNA from 1 species
GACGAACCGUGCGAACGUUGUUCGGAUUCACUGGGCUUAAAGGGCGCGUAGGCGGGCGACCAAGUCCGGGGUGAAAUCUUUCGGCUCAACCGAAAGAGUGCCUUGGAUACUGGUUGCCUCGAGGGAGGUAGGGGCAUGCGGAACUUCCGGUGGAGCGGUGAAAUGCGUAGAGAUCCGGAAGAACACCGGUGGCGAAGGCGGUCUGCUGGGCAGUUGCUGACACUGAGGCGCGACAGCGUGGGGAGCAAACAGGG